rnacentral:lncRNA from 1 species
GCUACGUGCCCAGCGCUCGCGUCUGCUCCAGUCGCUCUGGCGGUGCGGGGCGCUGGCGACGGGACAGGGUUUUUGCUGCCCGGGGCCUAGUCUACCUCGGCACGCUUUUCUCUGAAGGAGACACGCACUUGCACGACGUGGGCCUCUGUGCAGCUCUACUUUGUCCUUAACUCCUCUGACUCAACGUUAUCGCAGUUUGACUCUGGAGCCACUCAGGUUUUUCCUAAGCUCAACUCUAGCCAGCUAGGUUCCUGGUGCUUUGGGGGUACAAGGGGCCGGGCGCGGUGGCUCACACCUGUAAUCCCAGCACUUUGGGAGGCUGAGGCAGGCGGAUCCCCUGAGGUUAGGAGUUCGAGACCAGCCUAGCCAACAUGGCGAAGCACCGUCUCCACUAAAAAUACAAAAAUUAGCCGGACGUGGUGGUAAGUGCCUGUAAUCCCAGCUACUCGGGAGGCUGAGGCACGAGAAUGACUUGAACCCGGGAAGUGGAGAUUGCAGUGAGCAGAGAUCUCGCCACUGCACUCCAGCCUGGAUGAGAGAACGAGACUCCAUCUCAAAAAAACAAAACAAACAAAAGGUGCAAGGAAUACCUCUAAAUUUUGGGUUGCUUUCUGGGUACAAAAACAACUCCAAACUAAUGGCCUGCUACUUAUUUUGCAUUAACAGUAUCAAGUAUCAAGACUCCAGCAAAAGUGGCAGACAGCAUGGGAAUGCUAAAGAGCAUACAAUAUCAAUACAGGAUAGUACUCCAGAAAAUACGUUACCCUGCAUGUGGCGUUCCCUCAAUAGAUGUCUCCCCUCCCCCCAAUUUUUUUUAGCUCUGUGCUUUAGUGGAUACAAAAAUUACUUGCUUUCCCAAAGCCUCCUUUUGAAGAUAGAGCUAGCAUUAGGUUGAUUGCUAAAUUUUCAGGGAUUUUAUGAGCCAGGUCAUAAGCACAACCAUUAUUAGAAAUCAAAUUAUAUAAGCUACAAUUAAAUUAUCUUAAAAAUAAAAGUAAUAGGCCAGGCAUGUUGAGUCACAUUUGUAAUCCCAGUGCUUUGGGAGGCUAAGGCGGGAAGAUGGCUUGAGGCUAGAAGUUUGAUGUUGCAGUGAGCUAUGAUCACACCACUGCACUCCAGCCUGGGCAACAGAGUGAGACCCUAUUU